rnacentral:sRNA from 1 species
GGUCCGACACCGCCGAGUCGCUCGCCGAGCGAGCCGGGGACCCAGGUUCGUCUGGGGUGAAUCCGCAGUCACUGCGGUAGGGCGCCUACCUUCCCGCCCGAACCCGUCAGCUAACCCGGUAGGCGGUCAGGGAAGAAGGA